AACGAACGCUGGCGGCAGGCCUAACACAUGCAAGUCGAGCGAGACCUUCGGGUCUAGCGGCGGACGGGUGAGUAACGCGUGGGAAUAUGCCCUUUGGUACGGAAUAGCCUCGGGAAACUGAGAGUAAUACCGUAUUUGCCCUUCGGGGGAAAGAUUCAUCGCCAAAGGAUUAGCCCGCGUUGGAUUAGGUAGUUGGUGGGGUAAUGGCCUACCAAGCCUACGAUCCAUAGCUGGUUUGAGAGGAUGAUCAGCCACACUGGGACUGAGACACGGCCCAGACUCCUACGGGAGGCAGCAGUGGGGAAUCUUAGACAAUGGGGGCAACCCUGAUCUAGCCAUGCCGCGUGAGUGAUGAAGGCCUUAGGGUUGUAAAGCUCUUUCAGCUGGGAAGAUAAUGACGGUACCAGCAGAAGAAGCCCCGGCUAACUCCGUGCCAGCCGCCGCCGUAA
rnacentral:rRNA from 1 species